CCUACGGGCGGCAGCAGUAGGGAAUCUUCCACAAUGGGCGAAAGCCUGAUGGAGCAACGCCGCGUGGGUGAAGAAGGUCUUCGGAUCGUAAAACCCUGUUUUCAGAGAAGAAAGUGCGUGAGAGUAACUGUUCACGUUUCGACGGUAUCUAACCAGAAAGCCACGGCUCACUACGUGCCAGCAGCCUCGGUAAUACGAAGGUGGCAAGCGUUAUCCGGAUUUAUUGGGCGUAAAGGGAACGCAGGCGGUCUUUUAAGUCUGAUGUGAAAGCCUUCGGCUUAACCGGAGUAGUGCAUUGGAAACUGGGAGACGUGAGUGCAGAAGAGGAGAGUGGAACUCCAGGUGUAGCGGUGAAAUGCGUAGAUAUAUGGAAGAACACCAGUGGCGAAAGCGGCUCUCUGGUCUGUAACUGACGCUGAGGUUCGAAAGCGUGGGUAGCAAACAGGAUUAGAUACCCGAGUAGUC
rnacentral:rRNA from 1 species